GCUUCGCACCUAUCUCUAAGGCGAGCUCAUCCAAGUAGUCAACAUAAUUGGUCUGCAACGUCUGGCUCUGGCUUUCUCCAAACCUUAGUGAAGAAAGUAAAAAGGGAAUAUUCACAAAAUGUUCUCAGUUUUCUAGAAUAUUAGGCAUUCAAAACUGCUAAAGGAAUGAAGGAAUGAGUGAAUACAUGAAUGAGUUUUGAAUGAAUCUCUGGUGGAAAGUAUGAGUUUAUUGUUCCAGGAGGCUCAUAUCUCAGAUUGAGAAUAGGCCCUCAAAGAGCCAUGAAUUCAUGGAUGCUCUAGAAAUGUGACAAGAUGAUCACCAUUGUUUGGCAUUUUUUAAGCAGUGGCAAAUCUCCAGGCAAGUACAUACUAGUCAGGAUGGCGGCAGGGAUUCAUGAGAUAAUGCGUAUGAAAGCAUAGCUUGGUGUCUUGCUCACAGGAGAUGCUUAAUAUUUGCUUGUUAAAUUACUAAAGUACCUGGCAGUCUGGAUGACAUAUAGUAGAUAAUCAAUGUUAGGUAAAAUUGAAUGUGAACAAGAGAAAACUCCCUACACCUGAUGUGAACCCCAAAUCAACUUUCCAAGGGUACUCGAUCACUGUUGAACCUCAUUUUACCUCAUCAUAAAGUACAAAUCCUUGAACGUUCACACCAACCCCUUACUAAUUUAUUUUGAUGGGGAUUCUCCAGCUAACUUUUCACAGCUAUUCAAGCUACUAUCACCACCGUCUCAUCCCAUUCCCUCUCUAACCACGGAGUGUAGGUGGCUUGAGAAGUUACGGAAUCUGACAUGGGCAUCAUAUAGAACUGAGAUGAAAUUAAGCCAAGGAGAAGUGCUCUGAUUUGGUACAAUUCUUAUCUUUAAGUAUUUGGUUCUUAACCUAGUAUGUAUAAGAAUCGCUUAGGGAAAAGAUAAAAAUGCAAUUUUUAGCCUCACACACAGAGUUUCUGAUUCAAUCAUCUGGGCUCUAGCCCAGAAAUUUGCAUUUUAUCAGGCAUCUAGGUGGUUCUUGUAAGUAGCUAGAUCACUGUACUUCAAGAAACACUGCUUCAUUUAAAGAAUUAAAAAAUAUUCUUACAGGUCAAUUCUUUUUUCAUUCCUUUUGAUAAUGUCCAUCAUCAUAGUUCUCUCUGAGGGCAGGUGACACAAGCCUAAGGAAUAAAAGGUUGGUUUGAAUAGUAAGUUUGAGUCAAUAUCAUUACUUUAUCUAGUUAUUGAUUCUUAAAAUUAAACUCUGGCCAUUGAACCAUGUCAUACCAGUCAGGGCUUCUGUGCUGUUGAACUUCAUGGGGUGCCACUCCCAUAGCACUCCAUGUGACGCUGUCCAGGGAGCACAGUCUAUGGCAUGGACUACAAGAUGGAGAGGGCCAAGAGAAGAGGCUGGAAAAGGGAAGCAUGUCUGGAAGCCUGGCAGCCAUGACUAGCAGUUUGGCCUCUAUCCUAAAGGUGAUAGGAGGCUGUGGAAGUUUUCUGCAUGAAGUGAGAAGAUCAGAUUUAUUUUUUGGAAAGAUCUGUCUGGCUGCUGAAUUUAGGAAAAUGGACUCCAGGGAUGCAAGCCCAAAGUUGGGGAGACCGGUAAAGAGGCUGUUGAAAUAAACCUGGUGAGAGAUGAGAGUCGGGCAGUAGAGAUAGGGAAAGAUUGAUGCAGGAGUUAUUAUUGUGAGUUCAUGAUUACAUUGCCUGCCCACAAAUGUCCCCUGAGCUUUGAAUGUGUUGAAAUAUGGUCAAGUCCCCUUGCCUAGAGUCAUCAGACAUCUGAUACUCAAGCAGUCCAGGCCUAAGUUCCUCACUGAAGCCCUCCUGUCCAGACUUGCAUCAUUUUCUGCACACCCCCUUUUAUUUACAGCACUACUGUCUACCUGGUUUCCAAUGCCGGAGAUCUGUAAGUCCUCCUUGAUUCCUCUCUAUUUCCCUGACUUUCCCACACUGAACCAAUCAUAAUGUCCUGCUGAUUUUUCCCUCAAUGCUUUCUCACACUUAUGGCUUCCUUUCCACUUUGUAUCUCUGCCCUGGCCCAGGAUGCAUCAUAUUUUAGCAUAAGUUACUUCAGUAACUUUCUCUUUCAUCUGUGAGGCUGUAGUCUUUCCCCACUUUCAAAUCUAUAUUCCACACUACUGCUGAAACAAUCUAUCCAAAGUGUAAAUCUGCUAAUGCCUGUUCCUUGCUUAUAACCCUCCAUUGGUGCCCCGGGCUGAAGAGCUUUCUAAAAUGCAUAUUCCAGGUCCCUUGGCCAGUCUUACUUAAUCAGGGUCCCUAAGGAUCCAUCAGAUGAUUUUCAUGUGUAGCCAUAUUUGGGAAGAACUGAUCUAUAAUUUAUAAUCUAAGCGCCAUAGCAUGUCUUACAAAAUUCCUGUGUUCUGUCUCCUUCUCCAAGAGUAAUCUCUUUUCUCUCUCUGCCUCAUAUGUCAUGCUCUAGGAAUGUCAAAUAUAAUGUGCCUUUCCAUAUGUAUCAUUGCCUCUAUGCUUUGUUCAGGCAAUCCCCUUUUCUGCCCCUGAAAAAAUGCAGUUAUCCAGGACGUUUUCCUUUAUCAUGUGCCCUCUCCUUUUUCUACCGUGAUAAGUGCCCUUUCUCUCCUUCCCUGAGCACUCCAUAUAUUACUCAAUCAAAGCAUUUGUCGUAUUAUGUUGAAAUGGUCUGUUUAAAUUUCUCUCAGUCCCACCAGUUCACAGCGCAGGGCUAGGUAUUCAGUAAUACCUAGCUGAACAGAAUUGAACGCUGGAGGCAGGGAGAUAACACUGUUCUGAGGAGUAUGAAGUGCUACACAGGCACUCAGAAAUAAACCUUUUAAUAAUUUUAUAACUUGUAGGGAUUUGUGAAGUUGAGCUACUCAGGUAUUAAGAGUUAAAUUGAUCUGCACAUAUGCUGAGGACGUUUUAAACACCACAUAGGUAACACCAGGAGACACAGAUGUUUUUCUUAAACUUAUUCUCUCACGAUUCAAAUAAAAGUUAACAUGCACUUAGCUUUAUGCCAGUUGAAAUUCUCUUGACAGUCUAAUAGUUUAAAGGGAUGAUUGCAGGUAUUUAUUAUGACCAGAUUCCUGUAUUUGUUAUUCUUUGAAUUCUCCAGUAACUUUUUAGAAAGCUAAUCUUGUGAGAGCAGCCAAGGUUGUCAAACUUUUUCUUGGCAACCUUUUUAUCUCAGGCAACAUUCUUAUCAUUAUUGAUAAACUUCACCAGAUCUGAAACACUUAGCCACUCCCCUGCCCACACACUUACCUUUGAAAACUCUUGUCACCCAACGAGCUUGAAGUUCAGCAGUUGGGAAAAUGGAACCUAGGGGCUGGAUGAGACCAAUGCAUGCAAAGGUUGACUUCUCCAGGUGAGCUGGGAAUAUGUACUUAUACAGUGAGACCAUAUUAUUCUCUACUUUAACAAGUGAAUCUUCAAGGAAGGGAAAAGAGAAACUAUAUCCUGUUGCAAAAAUGAUGACAUCAAUGUUCUCCUCCACUGUUCCAUCCUCAAAAAUGGCAGAAGUUUCUGUGAGCUCUUUCACUGUAGAUUUCACCUUGAUGGCUCCACAGAGUAGACGACUUGGGACAUCAUCAUUUAGUACAGGUUCCUUCAUAAUGUAUCUGAGACAUACAGAAGAAAAACAUUCUGAAGGAUCAUUUCCUGAGGAAUCUUGAACCCUCUUGACAUUUUUGGGGUAUGGCUCUGAAAAUAAAACAGCUUUUCAAAUAUCUGUAAAACUUUAACUUAACUGGUUGUCUGUGCCAGUCCUUAUUUUCUGACUUAAUUCUCAUGUCACAAAUACCUCCCAUCAAUAAAUAAGGGAAAACAUGUAGGCGAUGUGAGUGAAAGAGAUUUUAAAGAAGGAAGCAUCCCCUAGGGCUUAGACAAAAUCCCUGAGUAUUAUGGUGGUUAUUAUACCAUUUCUGUUUUUAACCUUUGUCAUGCUAUCUAGCUUUUAUUAUUUUGCUGUUUUAUUUAACUCCUAUUUGAUCAUAAGUAAGGAAGAAAAAAUUUGCUAAAUUCCUACUACUUUUGAAACCUAUGAAGGGAUCAAUGUGAAAAUUAAUGUAUAAAAUUAGGUUUGGUGAUAUUUGUUAGUCCCAAAUAUCCAUGGAGUCUCUGUUAGUAAUAACAUGGAUGUUGAUGCAAAGUCUGCUUAUAUUUUUUUGUAGAUUUGAGAACAUUUUCUUUUUCUUUUUUUAAUAGACAAUACAUGGCACUUAUGUCCGAUCUUAGAAUAUGGUAGUUACAUGGCAGGCAUUUGUUAAAAGAUUCUGAAGCUCUUCUGUUUUUUAAGGGAAGAAACCUGUAACAACUAAAGCAAAAGAACCAUUCAUAACAUUUGCUUGUGCUUAAAUCACUGACAUAUAACUGACAUCAACAGAGAUGUGUCUUUUAGCAAAGAAAAAGGAAUGUGUUUCAAGGUUGCCCAUGGGAAGAACCUUCAUGGUAUAGGGUUAGCAAAGCAUAAAUUAUUAGAUGGAGAAUUACGUGUUUCCCACCACACCCCUCUGAAAGGCAGGUCAUAGUCUCUUGAAACAGUUUUCUCCAAUGUUAGAUAACUCUGGGCAUUAGAAAGUUCUCCCCUAGUUUUGCUUUCUGGAGCAGCUUGUAACACUUUUGCUUCAUCUUCUUAAGUGUUUUUUAAAGGUAUACAGAACAAAUUUAGAAUCCAAACUCCAGGACCUAUAAGGUACUCAUAUUGUUAGAUUGUAGUUUGAAAUACUGCGUUAGCAAUUUGAAUCUUUGUUAAAGGAGACACCUUCAGACAACUUUGCUCACCAACGAGUAUACCAUUAAAGCAAAAUAACUCUACUUGUUUUGAGGCUCAAGGCCAUAAUUUUCAUGGUUGAACCACCGAUUCAUCUGUUGUUCUAUCAUCCAUUUUACAACUGUUCGUGGCAGUACAUUGCGGAGCAUAGAACGAAACCGGGUGUGGAACACCGAGUCCCAAGGAUAACCAUCUUCAGAGACACGACUCAUGACCCAGGUGCCAUGCCUGGUGCUGAUAAAAACCUGGCAAGCAAAAAGAAAUGCAGUUUAAAUUAGGGCAUUGUCCCAUUUAGGAGGAAUCUACUACGAAGGUACAUGGUAAGCAGAGAGCAUCGCACCUGAGCAGCACUCUUACUCAGCUCAACAGCAAUAUCGGAGCCCGAGUUUCCCAUUCCGAUCACCAGGAUGCGUUUUCCCUCAAAUCCAUCUGGAUGCUUGUAUUGGCGGCUAUGGAAAUAUUGGCCUUUGAACCUCUCGAUACCUUCAGGGGGAAGAAGAGAGAAGUCUGAGCUCCAGAGCAACUAUGUCAAGCUGAUUUCAAUAAAACUGCAUUGUCAGCUUUUCCUUUCUGCAGUCAA